AUUUAGAUAGUUUAAUUAAAAAUGUUGGUUUGUGGGACCAGAGAUAUAUAUAUAUUUGUAUUUUAAAUA
rnacentral:tRNA from 1 species